AGGAUAAACGCUGGCGGCGUGCCUAACACAUGCAAGUCGAACGUCUCUUCUUUCGGGAAGAGGAGUGGCGGACGGGUGAGGAACACGUGGGAACCUGCCCUUCAGUGAGGAAUACCGGCGAGAAAUCGCCGACAAGACCGCAUAGCCCUCUCUGGUGAGAGCCAGAGAAGGAAAGCUUCGCAAGAGGCGCUGGAGGAGGGGCCUGCGUCCGAUUAGCUAGUUGGUGGGGUAAGAGCCUACCAAGGCGUCGAUCGGUAGCUGGUCUGAGAGGACGAUCAGCCACACUGGGAUUGAGAACGGCCCAGACUCCUACGGGGGGCAGCAGUGAGGAAUUUUCGGCAAUGGGGGAAACCCUGACCGAGCAACGCCGCGUGCAGGAAGACGGCCUUCGGGUUGUAAACUGCUUUUCUUUGGUACGAGCAAGGACGGUACCAGAGGAAUCAGCCCGGCUCACUACGUGCCAGCAGCCGC
rnacentral:rRNA from 1 species